AGCUACAACGUUGUUGUGAUGGAGAACUCCUGUACAGUAGGUGCGGUGUUAAACUUUAAUUCCACAGUCCAGCAUAAUGAGGGGGAAAAGGAAAGAAUCACCGGCUACAAACAAAGCUAGCGAUGUUUCGUUUCUGAUAGGAUUAACUUUAUUUUAAUAGCAAACUAGAUAACUGUAGAUUAUUAAAAUAUUAUAGAAAAUACAAAGACUGUUUUCAUAUUGAAAGGGACCAAAAGCGUCGGGGACAAUGUCGGGUUCCGUGGUCGAGUUCCAGGCGCAGAUAGCCUCAAUCAUGGAGGUGCUAGCCAACGCGGCUGUAGCCGAAAUCUGCAAAGUUGUUGAUGAUGGCUAUGCGGUUGUACACCUAAAGAUGUCCCAAAGCCACAAGGAGAACGAAUUUCUCCGGAGGAAAAUGAAAUUGAUGAAACUUCAGAUCGCGAGGUUUCGAUCUGAGAGAACAAAGUCUUCAGAGGGGUCAGUCCAAAAUCGCUUCCAUGGAAUACGCCUGCUAAACAGACACAUUAAUCGAGAGACGGAACGACAGGACCUACUUGGCAAAGCAGAGCCAGACUUUCCAACAGGAGUUUUUGGGAACAGCAGCAUACCAAGAGACAGACAGCCAUAGACGUGGACCAAGAAGGAUGUCUCUCCAUCAAAGCAUAUGGAUGCUACAAGUGAUGAGCAGUCAGCAGAGACAGAGGAAGGGAAACCAGACCUGCUGAUCAUCAAGGAUGAGGGAGAAGCAGAUGACCAGAAAUCUAGGUCCAGACAACCAGCCAGAACAGUGGAGGGCAGCAGGAGAGCUAACCACCCAACU